CGGAAAAUCCAUGCCUUUGUCACGUUCAAGCAUUGCCAGGUGAUCAGUCAGGCGAAGCCCAGGAAUUCCUAGCUCAACAGGAUACGGACGACGACACGGACCAACAAGACGCAGGAUGACGCCAACAAGUCAUAUAAUGCAAGCCACGUUAGGAAAAGAAGUCGAAUGUGCGCAGUGUAUAUUCAAGUGUUCGAAAAACAGCAAGUAAUAUCACCCGCCACCGAUGUUGAUUUGGGCUCCCCUCGAUUUGCUUAACAACAAGGAAAAUACAUAUCUACAGCAAGACGUCACAGUACUUUUUAGAUCAAUGACUACAGGCAGCGCAUUACAAGUGCUAGUAGAGAAUCGACCCACGGAAGGCUAACUCGGGUCAAAUCGGAGUAACAUCGGAAUAGCGUGAUAAUUUAGUCAGAUUUUUAAUUUUUUUUCUUCUUAAUUGUUUUGUGCAAUUUUUUUAUGGAAACUACAUGUAAUUUAAUGUAGAAUAAGAGGUGCCUGGGCAGCCCACAGCUGGGUAAUAUUGGUCUUAGUGAUACCAAUGGUCCUUUAAGUCCAACCUCGGCUGCGAAAAGUUUCCUAGGCCAGGAUCAAGUGAAAAGGGCUAGAAAUAACGGACAACGCAUUUUUUACGAUGUUCGAUGCGAAACAAAAUAGGAAAAAUGUUUAAUACUUUAAUACUGAAGGAGUAAUGCAUUCACCGUGUUCAUUAAAGGAUAUCGAAAUCAGAUGUUUCAAUAUUGGUCCAUUACUCAACUUAAUAACGCAAAGUCAGUUUUUUAAAGUAACUUUACUGAGUCAAAAGUGAAGAAAUAUCUAGAGGUUUUCUGAACCUUAGCAAUUUUGAAAUAAUCAGAGAAAUCACAUGAAAACCCUUCCAUUAGACCAUGGCUCAUCAUGUCUCUCCACUGCUCAGCAGUGUAUUAUACAUACACAUGGCUAUGUAUUCUAUAUUGUCAUUCCAUAUGGUCAUUUCUUUGAGAAUCUUUGAGCGAGUGCAUUGGGAAGGCUAUCCCACCGAGAAGGAGGUAUCUCUGACGAGAUCUCUACUGCAGUGCUCUAUUUUUCUACCAUCGGGAAGACAUGUGGUAGGUUUUAGUGUUGAGUGCAAAGCGCAAACCACUUGCACAAUACAUUCAUCACAGCAUGAAGAUGGGACAGGUACAAAAUUAAACAAAAAAGGAGCAGACAUCUGGAUGGAGCGGGUAGGUAGAGGUAAUGACCAAAGUGUUAUCAUAUCCUCGGAAACCCUACUGACAAAUAGACCUUUUCGUAUUUGAAUCCACAGCGUCUAAUCAUAUCAUCAUUCGGAUCGGAAAAUUACAUCGCAUGAGGCACAAGUGUGCAAGGGUCAUAAACCUACCAUGAACAUACUCUUAACCUACUUGGACGUGGGACUUACCCAACAGGAGGGAAAUACCCCUGCGUGACACUAUGCGCCGCCAAUUGUGGUAUCACACUAAUGUUAUUACUAUCAACACCUGUUUUCCUCUACGUACUGACGAGGGUCCAGUCCGUGUCUCCUGCAAUACACACACGUGCCUUAUUAGUUUUUUGUUGCAAUUUGGACGAGUGGGCGGGAAAGAGAAUC